CAAUAGCGUAUAUUAAAGCUGUUGCGGUUAAAAAGCUCGUAGUUGGAUUUCUGUCAAGGACAACUGGUCCGCCCUCCGGGUGAGCACAUAGUUUGGUCUUGGCAUCUCGCUGGAAACUGUUGCUGCACUUGACUGUGUGGCGCAGCGUCCAGCACUUUCACUUUGAGGAAAUUGGAGUGUUUCAAGCAGGCACAUGCCUUUGGACACAGUAGCAUGGAAUAAUUAGAUUGGGCUUUUGCUCCAAUUUGUCGGUUUCUGGAGCUGAGGUGAGAAUUAAUGGGGAUUGUUGGGGGCAUCCGAAUUUAGCCGUCAGAGGUGAAAUUCUUGGAUCUGCUAAAGACGGACAACUGCGAAAGCGUCUGCCCAGGAUGUUUUCAUUGA
rnacentral:rRNA from 1 species